UAAACUAACGAACUAUAUU
rnacentral:miRNA from 1 species